GGAGGCUGUUGCAAAGGUAGAGAGGGAGAAGUGACGAUGGUGAUCGUUGCUGCCGCGGCCGAUAUGGAACCCAAGCAGUGGCGAAGGGAAUCGCAAGGCUCUUCCCUGACCAUUUUCUACUGUCCCUGCGCGAGGUGAGGGCCCCGGCUCGGCCUCUGCAAAACUUUGGGGCGCUGGCGCGGAGGAGGAGACAGGAUUUCUCCCGUGACUUUUGUAACUGCGUCAGGGCAAGAUGGCGCUGGGUCUCUUUGGGGCGCGGGGGGAGAGGCACGUCCACCGCCGCAGCGCAUGUGACCGGGCUGCAUUCCUGUGGGGUUUGGCUCCGACCCAGGCCGGGGCGGGGGAGGGGACAGGGCUUGGGCGGAGGAGACUGUGGUGCGGUCGGCGUUGGCGGCCUGAAGAGGAAGAGAUGACUGUUGGAAAGCGUUCCCCUCCCCCAUACGGCAGAACAGCUGCGGCUCCCAGGGGAAAGCCCCCGCAGGACAGUCCUCGUGGGGUGUGACGGCUGUUGGUGGAGAAGGUUUGGCGCCCUAUUUUCUUAUCUGCCUUUCUCCCCGCAAAGUAUACUUAUGUAAGGUGGUAGUUCCCUGACGUGGGACUCGGAAUCAACUAGGAGUCCUUGAGGGCCUCUGGGAGGCCUAGCGAGGGGUAGACCAGCUUCUGGGGGUACAACGUCAAGGAGGAUCGAUUACUUUCUGAGGAAACAGUUUCUCAGAUUGAAAUAGAAAAGUAUUUCCAAAGUUUGGAAACAAAUUUAAAGGUGUAAAUAACACCCAGGAACACUUUAAUUGCUUUGAAAAGGCAUAAGCAGCCAUCUGAAUUUAAGGGCCCUUUUCAGACUCUUCCUUCCUCCUGUGAUUCCUGUUCUUUAUUUCAGUUUUCUGUCUGUACAUCCCUUAAGAAUAUAGUUUUGUCGGUGGGAUUCGCUCUUUUGUGCCCAGGCUGGAGUGCAGAGGCGAGAUCUCGGCCCACUGCAACCUCCGCCUCCCCGGGUUCAGGCGAGUCUCCUGCCUCAGCCUCCCAGGUAGCUGGGAUUACAGGCGCCCACAACCACACCCUGCUAAUUUUUUCUAUUUUUAGUAGAGACGGGGUUUCACCCCAUUGACCAGGCUGGUCUCGAACUCUCGAGAUCCGCCCGUCUCAGCUUCCCAAAGUGCUGGGAUUAUAGGCAUGAGCCACCGCGCCGGGCCUGCUUUUUUUUUUUUUUUUUUUUUUUGCACUGGGCAUUAGUAAUACGGAAUAAAAGCCGUGUUUUAAACUGUAUUAAGUUGUAAGACUUUUCAGUACUUUCAAGUCUGCUUUCUUUCUGUUGCCCUUUUGUAGUUUUUAAAAAUAAAAGAUGCAAUUAUAAGCAC
rnacentral:lncRNA from 10 species